GAAGUACACACUAGAAAUAUACUUGAAUAAGAUAGCUUCUACAUUCUCCUCCUAUAUAUCUUCUCUCUAUUACUAUAUUGUUCUAUUUUGUUCUCAUUUCUUAACAUGUUACACGACGCGCUCAAAUCAUAGUUACUUUACCUGCUCCACGGGGCUCUAAUUACAUUCCCGUCUUUUGAAGUUGAGUCUACUUUUUCAUCCGAAAUUCACCUUAACGCUAAAGGUCUUGGUGACACUAUUAAAGAAGAAAAUGAAGCAUCAAGUCAGGAUAAGGCGUAAGCCAUGAUUUUCCUUCGUCAUCAUCUCGAUGAAGGGUUAAAAAGUGAAUAUUUAACCUUGAAAGGUCCAUUUCAACUAUGGACUAAUUUGAAGGAACGAUAUGACCACCUAAAGGCCACGGUAUUACCAAGAGCUCGUCGUGAGUGGAUGCACUCGGCUACAAGAUUAUAAGACCAUAAGUGAAUAUAAUUCUGCUGUAUAUAGACUAAUUUCCCAACUAAAAUUAUAUGGGGAACUUAUGAAUCAUGAGGACAUGUUGCAGCAGACUCUUUUAACUUUUGAUACCUAAAAUAUAGUGUUACAGCAACAAUACCGUGAAAAGGGCUUUAAGAAAUUUUGAGAUAAUUUCAUGCCUUUUGGUGGCUGAACAACAUAAUGCACUUAUAAUGAAAAAUCAUGAAGCCUGCCGCACUAGACCUUGCAAAAUGAUGUUGCGGCGGGCCCUAUGAAUAAUUGUGAUAAAGUUGAAGCAAACCUUGCAAAUAAAGAUGAUAUUUUUGAAGGCCUUGCGGAUA